GGAAUUUUGGACAAUGGGCGAAAGCCUGAUCCAGCAAUGCCGCGUGAGUGAAGAAGGCCUUCGGGUUGUAAAGCUCUUUUGUCAGGGAAGAAACGGUUUGGGCUAAUACCCUGAGCUAAUGACGGUACCUGAAGAAUAAGCACCGGCUAACUACGUGCCAGCAGCCGCGGUAAUACGUAGGGUGCAAGCGUUAAUCGGAAUUACUGGGCGUAAAGCGUGCGCAGGCGGUUUUGUAAGUCUGACGUGAAAUCCCCGGGCUCAACCUGGGAAUUGCGUUGGAGACUGCAAGGCUAGAAUCUGGCAGAGGGGGGUAGAAUUCCACGUGUAGCAGUGAAAUGCGUAGAGAUGUGGAGGAACACCGAUGGCGAAGGCAGCCCCCUGGGUCAAGAUUGACGCUCAUGCACGAAAGCGUGGGGAGCAAACAGGAUUAGAUACCCUGG
rnacentral:rRNA from 1 species